GAGGGUAUAGCUCCAGCAGUAGAGUGCAUGCUUAGCAUGCAUGAGGUCCUGGGUUCAAUCCCCGGUACCUCCU
rfam:Camelus ferus unplaced genomic scaffold scaffold884, whole genome shotgun sequence.